AUUGAACGCUGGCGGCAUGCUUUACACAUGCAAGUCGAACGGUAACAGGCCUUCGGGUGCUGACGAGUGGCGAACGGGUGAGUAAUGCAUCGGAACGUACCCAGAGGUGGGGGAUAACGCAGCGAAAGCUGUGCUAGUACCGCAUGUGAUCUGAGGAUGAAAGCGGGGGACCGCGCAGCAAUGUUUGGCCUCGCGCCUUUGGAGCGGCCGAUGUCGGAUUAGCUAGUUGGUGGGGUAAAGGCCUACCAAGGCGACGAUCCGUAGCUGGUCUGAGAGGACGACCAGCCACACUGGGACUGAGACACGGCCCAGACUCCUACGGGAGGCAGCAGUGGGGAAUUUUGGACAAUGGGCGCAAGCCUGAUCCAGCAAUGCCGCGUGCGGGAAGAAGGCCUUCGGGUUGUAAACCGCUUUUGGCAGGAACGAAACGGUGUCCGCUAAUACCGGGCGCUAAUGACGGUACCUGCAGAAUAAGCACCGGCUAACUACGUG
rnacentral:rRNA from 1 species